rfam:Ciona savignyi cont_33207, whole genome shotgun sequence.
GCUUAUCACCAUUCCAGAUUGAAUAUACCCGAUCUCGUCUGAUCUCAGAAGUCCAGCAAUCUCGGGCUUGGUUAGUACUUGGAUGGGUGACCGCUUGGGAAUACCAAGUGUGAUAAGCA